AGGAGGAGGAGGAGACGGGGCUUGAAAGACCCUGGCCUGGCUCAGAGGUCCAGGGUGUGGGGUGCUGCUGGCAGGCUCCUCGGAUCUAGAUUGGCAUCCCCCCCUCCAGCCAUCUCAAGGUGGAUAUACGCCCAAACUGGAGCCACAUCACACUGUUGGCUCAUAUUCAUCAUGUGAUCAACGACAAUUCCAAGAUCCUUCUCACAUGUCUUACUGCUGAGCCAAGUUAGCGACGCCAUGCUACUCAGAUUUUAGUCCAGCCACCACCGACUGCCCCAAUCCAGAUUAUCAAAUGGCACCAGUUUCUCCACUCCGGGCUCACUCCUCUGUGGUGGCGGCUUCCCCUCCGGCUCCUGCGCCUCCUCCUGCCCCUUACAGGGUGGUUGUUGAAAGGUUUCAUUCGGAGAACCGUAUUAGUAAUUACCAGUAGAAAUGAAAGUAUGCAUUGAGUAACCAGCUUCACCUAUUAAGAGGAAGAGCUUAUUGGUGACACUUCACUCUCAUACUCCUGCUGACAGCUCCCACUGGCUUCAUAUAGAUGUUAAAUAGCAUGAGGGGCAAGAUGGGACCCUUUUCAAUGUUAUUUGUGACAAACUAGCUCCCCCUAUCAGUGUUUUACCUUGCCCUCCCCUCUCUCUCUCUCACACACAAAUUCCUGCAAAUGCCCAUGUGUUACACCCUGCACUUAAUGGUCUUAUGGGGGCCGCCCUUUGGAUGACCCUGGCAGGGUACACAAAACCCUACUCUGAGCAUGUGCAGUUUCCCACUUUAAAACUCAAUUAAGUCAUAGCACCAUCAUGACCACAGGAAUAAAUGGGAGUUUGCUUCUGCUGUCCUAAUGCUAAGCACAUUUACUUGGAAAUAAAUAAGCAACAUUUUGUUGUAUAUGAAAAUUAGCAUCUGUAAUUAUGUACGUUUGGCUGACUGGUCCCUGUUUUUUUAAAAAAGAAAGGAUGCUGCAUCCAGUGGCGUCACUAGGGUUGGUGUCACCCGGUGCGGUAACUCAUGGUGUCACCCCCAUGGAACUCCUCCCGUAUCAGACCAUACAGAAUCCUUAGUAAUGUUUUUUGUACUAAUGUUACUCGUAAAUUGUAAUUCCCAUAUAUCACUGAAUGUAAUGGCAAUAG